rnacentral:rRNA from 1 species
UACGGAGGGAGCUAGCGUUGUUCGGAAUUACUGGGCGUAAAGCGCACGUAGGCGGUUACUCAAGUCAGAGGUGAAAGCCCGGGGCUCAACCCCGGAACUGCCUUUGAAACUAGGUGACUAGAAUCUUGGAGAGGUCAGUGGAAUUCCGAGUGUAGAGGUGAAAUUCGUAGAUAUUCGGAAGAACACCAGUGGCGAAGGCGACUGACUGGACAAGUAUUGACGCUGAGGUGCGAAAGCGUGGGGAGCAAACAGG